rnacentral:rRNA from 1 species
CGGCUCAGUAACACGUGGAUAACCUACCCUCAGAUCUGGGAUAACUCCGGGAAACUGGAGAUAAUACCGGAUAAUCCGUGAACGCUGGAAUGCCUUACGGUUGAAAGCUUUAGCGUCUGAGGAUGGGUCUGCGGCCGAUUAGGUAGUUGCUGGGGUAACGUCCCAACAAGCCGAUAAUCGGUACGGGUUGUGAGAGCAAGAGCCCGGAGAUGGAUUCUGAGACACGAAUCCAGGUCCUACGGGGCGCAGCAGGCGCGAAAACUUUACACUGCGCGAAAGCGCGAUAAGGGGACCUCGAGUGCGUGCGCAAAGCGUACGCUUUUCAGAUGCCUAAAAAGCAUCUGGAAUAAGGGCCGGGCAAGACCGGUGCCAGCCGCCGCGGUAACACCGGCGGCUCAAGUGGUGGCCGCUAUUAUUGGGCUUAAAGGGUCCGUAGCCGGACCAGUUAGUCCCUUGGGAAAUCUUACGGCUUAACCGUAAGGCUGCCAAUGGAUACUGCUGGUCUUGGGACCGGGAGAGGCAAGAGGUACCUCAGGGGUAGGAGUGAAAUCCUGUAAUCCUUGAGGGACCGCCAGUGGCGAAGGCGUCUUGCUAGAACGGGUCCGACGGUGAGGGACGAAAGCUAGGGGCACGAACCGGAUUAGAUACCCGGGUAGUCCUAGCCGUAAACGA